ACUGCCCUGGGGUCAAGAGCUGGCUGGUGACGAAACAUUUGUAAUACAUAGUCUGGGUCAGCCGGGGUAACUUUGGUCGACGAGAUACCUUUUCCCGACGAUGUUAGUAUUGGUAACCAAGCUGUCGGGCAAAGGAAUAAAGGGGUGACGUUGGAAGUUACACUGAUGAAGUGCAAGUUUCUACCGUAGAAACUGAGAGUGGUGAAAUGGAAGAAGUAAGUGUAACGUAACGGUGCCCGCUCACUACAAGUAUUACUCAAACAGGCAGUCGCCGAAACACAAACGCCAACAAAAAUCAGACGCGAAGCUUUGCCAUCAGCUGGAAAGGGAGGUGCUCUCAUGGCUAAAGAGAGAUCAUCAAUUGUAACUGCAGACAAGAAGACAAUAGAAGACGACAUACUGCGCCUUAAGAGAAACCUCCAACUAAAAAAAAAUAAGCUGAGAUUGGAGACAAAAAGACUUAAAAAAAAUUAAUUUCAUUAAACGGCGUCUAAAAUGCAAAUUAAAAUGAUGAUAUUGAUAACCUUUUGGACAUCUACCGGACUUAUUAUAUAACAAUACUAUUGAUAGUCGGAGGAGUACUUUAAUUGGUGAUAGAUAAUAUCAGAAUUAUGACCCACAUGUACACUUACUUUUUUUCUUCGGGGGUUAGGUAUAUGUGUACUUUGUGCAAUAUAAUGUAAUAAUUAUCGUCAUUGAAUAAAAAAUAGCUUCUUGAUUUUGCACGA